UAUUCUUUUAGUAUUAAUCAGUACAACUGACUUCCAAUCAGUUAGUCUUGGAAAAAUCCCAAGAAAGAAUAA
rnacentral:tRNA from 1 species